rnacentral:rRNA from 1 species
CAUCGGCGUACUGCUCAGUAACACGUGGAUAACCUACCCUCAGGUCGGGGAUAAACCCGGGAAACUGGGUAUAAUACCCGCUAGAUCUCGAAUGUUGGAAUGCAUCGAGAUUGAAAGCUCCGGCGCCCGAGGAUGGAUCUGCGGCCUAUCAGGUAGUAGUGGGUGUAGCGUACCUACUAGCCUACGACGGGUACGGGUUGUGAGAGCAAGAGCCCGGAGAUGGAUUCUGAGACACGAAUCCAGGCCCUACGGGGUGCAGCAGGCGCGAAACCUUUACAAUGCGGGCAACCGCGAUAAGGGGACCUCGAGUGCCGACAUCUAAUGUCGGCUGUCGUGAUGCCUAAAAAGCAUUAUAUAGCAAGGGCCGGGCAAGACCGGUGCCAGCCGCCGCGGUAACACCGGCGGCUCGAGUGGUGACCGCUAUUAUUGGGUUUAAAGGGUCUGUAGCCGGCCGGAUAAGUCUCUUGGGAAAUCUGGCCGCUUAACGGUCAGGCUUUCAGGUGAUACUGUCUGGCUCGAGGCCGGGAGAGGUGAGAGGUACUUCAGGGGUAGGGGUGAAAUCUUGUAAUCCUUGAAGGACCACCAGUGGCGAAGGCGUCUCACCAAAACGGACCUGACGGCAAGGGACGAAAGCUAGGGGCACGAACCGGAUUAGAUACCCGGGUAGUCCUAGCCGUAAACAAUACUCGCUAGGUGUCGGCCGCGGUGCGACCGUGGUCGGUGCCGUAGGGAAACCGUGAAGCGAGCCACCUGGGAAGUACGGCCGCAAGGCUGAAACUUAAAGGAAUUGGCGGGGGAGCACCACAAGGGGUGAAGCUUGCGGUUUAAUUGGAGUCAACGCCGGG